GGGCUGGGGCUCAGUGGCAGAGUGCUUACCUAGCAUGUGUGAGGCACUGGGUUCAAUCCUCAGCACCACA
rnacentral:tRNA from 1 species